GCCUGGGUGGCUCAGUCAGUUAAGCAUCUGACUUCAGCUCAGGUCAUGAUCUAGCGGUCCGUGAGUUCGAGCCCCACGUCAGGCU
rnacentral:tRNA from 1 species